rnacentral:snRNA from 1 species
AUAUUUUGGAUAUAUAUGGCUGCAACAUCUGUCACCCCAUUGAUUGCCAGGGAUGAUUUGGCUGAUCUUGUUGGCUAGGCAACUGUUCCCUUCCUCCCUCAUUACUAUAUGUGUAUCCAUGUGCUAGGUCAAAGAGGACAGCCUUCCCUGAACAGAGGAGGACCAGUCUUUGCUCAAGUAGCUGCACUCAUCUGUUAGAACCUCCAAACAAGCUUAAUGUCCCAUGAUUAUUAUGUGUUAUAGGAAGUUACUUUCCUG